rnacentral:rRNA from 1 species
GUGCCAGCAGCCGCGGUAAUACGUAGGUCCCGAGCGUUGUCCGGAUUUAUUGGGCGUAAAGCGAGCGCAGGCGGUUAGAUAAGUCUGAAGUUAAAGGCUGUGGCUUAACCAUAGUACGCUUUGGAAACUGUUUAACUUGAGUGCAAGAGGGGAGAGUGAAAUUCCAUGUGUAGCGGUGAAAUGCGUAGAUAUAUGGAGGAACACCGGUGGCGAAAGCGGCUCUCUGGCUUGUAACUGACGCUGAGGCUCGAAAGCGUGGGGAGCAAACAG